AUUGAACGCUGGCGGCAGGCCUAACACAUGCAAGUCGAGCGAGCGGCGGACGGGUGAGUAAUGUCUGGGAAUCUGCCCGAUGGAGGGGGAUAACUACUGGAAACGGUGGCUAAUACCGCAUACCAUCGGAUGUGCCCAGAUGGGAUUAGCUAGUAGGUGGGGUAAUGGCUCACCUAGGCGACGAUCUCUAGCUGGUCUGAGAGGAUGACCAGCCACACUGGAACUGAGACACGGCCCAGACUCCUACGGGAGGCAGCAGUGGGGAAUAUUGCACAAUGGGCGCAAGCCUGAUGCAGCCAUGCCGCGUGUAUGAAGAAGGCCUUCGGGUUGUAAAGUACUGUCAGCGGGGAGGCGUUACCCGCAGAAGAAGCACCGGCUAACUCCGUGCCAGCAGCCGCGGUAAUAC
rnacentral:rRNA from 1 species